rnacentral:rRNA from 1 species
GAUGGACGCUGGCGGCGUGCUUAACACAUGCAAGUCGAACGGAAAGGCCUCUGCUUGCAGGGGUACUCGAGUGGCGAACGGGUGAGUAACACGUGGGUGAUCUGCCCUGCACUUCGGGAUAAGCCUGGGAAACUGGGUCUAAUACCGGAUAGGACAAUGGUUUGGAUGCUGUUGUGGAAAGUUUUUCGGUGUGGGAUGAGCUCGCGGCCUAUCAGCUUGUUGGUGGGGUAAUGGCCUACCAAGGCGUCGACGGGUAGCCGGCCUGAGAGGGUGUACGGCCACAUUGGGACUGAGAUACGGCCCAGACUCCUACGGGAGGCAGCAGUGGGGAAUAUUGCACAAUGGGCGCAAGCCUGAUGCAGCGACGCCGCGUGGGGGAUGACGGCCUUCGGGUUGUAAACUCCUUUCGCUAGGGACGAAGCGUUUUUGUGACGGUACCUGGAGAAGAAGCACCGGCUAACUACGUG